AAGAAAACCACAAACUGAAGAAAAAAAAGGAAAGGCAAAAACUGCAGAGAUGGAUUCUAGAGGGGGAUUUAGAUCUGUCACGCAAGGUUCAGAGAAUCCAAUUGAUAAAGCACUGUGGUAUACAUCAAUGUUCAAUCUGACAACAAUAGAUGUCCACGAGGGAUAAUGCAAGAUCACAAGGGUGUCAAGAUUUUGCACUGUUACUGGCCGGCCAUAUAAUGAGUGAGCAGCAGACCAGAUAGAUAAGAAGUCUCUACAAUUUACGUCAGCAAGUUCUGACCACGGACCCGGAAUCACUAAAUAAGGCAUCGUCUUUGAACUCACAGGACUGCGAGUACAGAUCCAACCGUUUAAUAAACUGAGCACAGAUGAAAUCAAUGCUGAUAAUGGCAGACAUGUUUUAGUCUGUUAUUCUAACGGAAUAGAACAAUGGAAAGCAUUAGUGCUGAGGUGAGCUUAGCUUUGGAUCCCCGUGGA